rnacentral:rRNA from 1 species
ACGUGAAACCUUGUGGGAAGCAGGGAGGACCACCUCCCAAGGCUAAAUACUACCUGAUGACCGAUAGUGAAGCAGUACCGUGAGGGAAAGGUGAAAAGAACCCCGGGAGGGGAGUGAAAUAGAACCUGAAACCGUGUGCCUACAACCGCUCAGAGCCCCUUAUGAGGGUGAUGAGGUGCUUUUUGUAGAACGAGCCAACGAGUUACGGUAUGUAGCAAGGUUAAGUACUUAAGGUACGGAGCCGAAGGGAAACCGAGUCUGAAUAGGGCGACUAGUUGCAUGCCGUAGACCCGAAACCGGGUGACCUAUCCAUGGCCAGGUUGAAGCGAGGGUAAAACCUCGUGGAGGACCGAACCACGUUGCUGUUGAAAAAGCAUGGGAUGAGCUGUGGAUAGCGGAGAAAUUCCAAUCGAACCCGGAGAUAGCUGGUUCUCUCCGAAAUAGCUUUAGGGCUAGCGUCGAGUAUGAGUAGUGGAGGUAGAGCACUGAAUGGGCUAGGGGGCAUAGCGCUUACCGAACCUUAUCAAACUCCGAAUGCCACAUACUUUGAGCUCGGCAGUCAGACUACGAAUGAUAAGAUCCGUGGUCAAAAGGGAAACAGCCCAGAUCGUCAGCUAAGGUCCCAAAGUGUAAGUUAAGUGGGAAAGGAUGUGAGAUUUCUAAGACAACUAGGAUGUUGGCUUAGAAGCAGCCAUUCAUUAAAAGAGUGCGUAAUAGCUCACUAGUCGAGAGAUCUUGCGCCGAAAAUGUAACGGGGCUAAACUUACC